rnacentral:rRNA from 1 species
UACGUAGGGUGCAAGCGUUAAUCGGAAUUACUGGGCGUAAAGCGUGCGCAGGCGGCUUUGCAAGACAGAUGUGAAAUCCCCGGGCUCAACUUGGGAACUGCAUUUGUGACUGCAUGGCUGGAGUGCGGCAGAGGGGGAUGGAAUUCCGCGUGUAGCAGUGAAAUGCGUAGAUAUGCGGAGGAACACCGAUGGCGAAGGCAAUCCCCUGGGCCUGCACUGACGCUCAUGCACGAAAGCGUGGGGAGCAAACAGG